AUUGAACGCUGGCGGCAUGCCUUACACAUGCAAGUCGAACGGCAGCACGGGAGCAAUCCUGGUGGCGAGUGGCGAACGGGUGAGUAAUGUAUCGGAACGUGCCCAGUCGUGGGGGAUAACGCAGCGAAAGCUGUGCUAAUACCGCAUACGAUCUAUGGAUGAAAGCGGGGGAUCGCAAGACCUCGCGCGAUUGGAGCGGCCGAUAUCAGAUUAGCUAGUUGGUGGGGUAAAGGCUCACCAAGGCGACGAUCUGUAGCUGGUCUGAGAGGACGACCAGCCACACUGGAACUGAGACACGGUCCAGACUCCUACGGGAGGCAGCAGUGGGGAAUUUUGGACAAUGGGCGCAAGCCUGAUCCAGCAAUGCCGCGUGCAGGAUGAAGGCCUUCGGGUUGUAAACUGCUUUUGUUACGGAGCGAAAAGGCUUCCUCUAAUACAGGGGGCUCAUGACGGUACCGUAAGAAUAAGCACGGCUAAC
rnacentral:rRNA from 1 species